AUUAUGAUGCGCAGUAAGAAGUAACUCGCUGGGUGUUGGGGGGCUGGACAGGAAGGACGGCCUGGGGCAGGGGCUUUCAGCUGGAGUCUGGAGCAUGGUGGAAGCCGACAGAAGAUCCUUCCACCCGGGAAGAUGCACACAUGCGGUCUCUCUUGGAUUCAGCUGCCUCUGCCUUUCAUAACUCCCAUGUCUAUAGAAGCCCCAGCUGACCAAUACUGAGCCACAGGACCCCGGGAUCAUGACCUGAGCCAAAGACAGAGACUUAACCAUCUGAGCCACCCAGGCGCCCUGGAAAUAAAGAAAAAUUUUAAUAAAUAACUCAUGGGUCACAGAAGAAAUCAAAAUGGGAAUCAGACAGCCAGCUAACUAAAUGAUGAGGGACUUGCCAGCAACCGACCACACUUGGAGAGAACUGUAUGGUCUUACCUUGGUACAUCAAAAACAAGAAAAGAUUCGACAUUAAUGAAGAAAGCGACCAUCAAAAGGAGUUAUAGAAAGAACGGCAAAAUAAAUCCCUAACAAAUAGAAGGAGAAAGAAAGUGGAAGGGAAACUAAUAGGAGAUCAGAACUUAACCACACAGAAGCCAUGCCUGCAGUGGACAGGGCUCCCCAAACAAUGAUUCGUUUGGAAACACGAAUGGCAUGUGUAAGUGUGGUGAGACUAGUCACGAUAAAAAGGGGAACUAGCGGUCUCAGGAAUGGGGAAAUCGUGCGGCGGUCUGAGCGGCCGUGUCUCCCUCGAACCGGCCUCGGAGCUUAACCCUGGCUGGCAUCUGAGUCCUGAGAGUCACGCCUUCCUGAAUGGGACUAGUGUGCUUACAAAAGAGGCUCCCUGGGGCCCUCUAAGCCCUUGGGCCGGGUGCUGACGCCCAGAGCGGGCGGCUCUGUGCCAACAGGCGGCCCGACCUCAGCGGCCCCGAAGCUGACCCCCCUCCCCCCCACUCCCCGCCGUGGCGUUCGUGGC